UCUUUUGUGGUACUUCUGGAUCCUUACCAAGGCAAUGAUGGUGUAUGCCUUCUCUCAAAGUAUGUGGUAUUUGUGGUAUGAGGCAUAAUGAUAUUGCCUUCUCUCUCACCCAACUCUAACAAGGUUUUGAUAUCUGGAGCUCAUAGGUGGGAGACAGCUAAUACAUACUUACAAGACAUUUAUUGCAUUGUCAAACCUUGGAUCCAGAGAAACAAGUCAAUAAGUCAAAUCAAGAUGUGCAUGUGUGGCGAAUGAAUGGUGUAUGGUGAUGAUGAUGAUAAUGGUGAAGACAUUGGUGAAAGUCUAAUUCUACUUUUGCUCUUUUGAGGGGAUACAUACCUUUCUUGCACUUUGAAGCUUUUUGAAGGGAAUGAGAUGCUCUAUAUUUUCUUUGUCUUUUCUCUCAGGUGGGUAUCUUCUACCCCUAAUUCUACUGUCGGACACUUCCAUUUUUACCUCUCAUCUCACUUUUUCUUUUCUUCGAGGUUCCGGGCACUUGCCCCUUUUUAUUUCCUCGUAUUUUUUUCUCUUUUUUCUUUAGAGCACUCACCCUCCUAGAAUAAUGUAGCAAGUGGUAGUAACCAAAAUAUCAAGAGCAUUUAUUUCACGGGGAAUAACAGGGAUAGGAUAAUGUUUUUGGCUAUUCUCUCCUAGAUAGGAGUAGAAUAAUUUUCGGUGAAUUUGGAGAUGGAAAGGAGUGAAUGUAUGUGGAUGCGUACUUCCGGAGUAGAAGCACCUUGAAUGAGUGAACGUGCAAGUGAAUCUUGAUUUUAACCGCAUGACAAGCUCCUAAGGGUCUACACAGCUUGACAACACUCAAUGCUCAUAAGCAGUAAAAAGUAAAUGUAUGGUUCAUAGUCUAAUAAGCAUGUUUAUGUGGCUGUGGUAGGUUUUAAACUCCCGUCAUACAGGAACUCAUCAUGCAAUAUUUUAAAGAUUUUCAAAGAUAAAAUUCUCUAGAAUUCUAGCAUCUCUAGGAACAGAUAAACAGCAGCUCAACCUUCCCAUAUCGUAUCCAUUAAUCACUUAGACUUUAGAUCAAGUACUCUUCCCACAAGUUCAGGUUUAGAGCAAAUCUUAAUUCAUAACAGUCAUGCCUAAACUUGAUAGAGAAUUCAAUUUUGAGAACUUGUCAUGGCAGAGCAACUAUUCAUCAUUUCCAUGUGAGAGCUUAUCAUGAGGGUU
rnacentral:lncRNA from 1 species